rnacentral:rRNA from 1 species
GACGAACGCUGGCGGCGUGCCUAAUACAUGCAAGUAGAACGCUGAAGGAGGAGCUUGCUUCUCUGGAUGAGUUGCGAACGGGUGAGUAACGCGUAGGUAACCUGCCUGGUAGCGGGGGAUAACUAUUGGAAACGAUAGCUAAUACCGCAUAAUAGUAGAUGUUGCAUGACAUUUGCUUAAAAGGUGCAAUUGCAUCACUACCAGAUGGACCUGCGUUGUAUCAGCUAGUUGGUGAGGUAACGGCUCACCAAGGCAACGAUACAUAGCCGACCUGAGAGGGUGAUCGGCCACACUGGGACUGAGACACGGCCCAGACUCCUACGGGAGGCAGCAGUAGGGAAUCUUCGGCAAUGGACGGAAGUCUGACCGAGCAACGCCGCGUGAGUGAAGAAGGUUUUCGGAUCGUAAAGCUCUGUUGUAAGAGAAGAACGAGUGUGAGAGUGGAAAGUUCACACUGUGACGGUAUCUUACCAGAAAGGGACGGCUAACUACGUG